AGUGAGGAAUAUUGCACAAUGGGGGGAACCUUGAUGCAGCAACGCCGCGUGGAGGAUGACGCAUUUCGGUGUGUAAACUCCUUUUAUAUGUCAAGAAAAUGACGGUAGCAUAUGAAUAAGCACCGGCUAACUCCGUGCCAGCAGCCGCGGUAAUACGGAGGGUGCAAGCGUUACUCGGAAUCACUGGGCGUAAAGGACGCGUAGGCGGGUUGGUAAGUCAGAUGUGAAAUCCUACAGCUUAACUGUAGAACUGCAUUUGAAACUACUAACCUAGAGUAUGGGAGGGGGAGAUGGAAUUAGUGGUGUAGGGGUAAAAUCCGUAGAUAUCACUAGGAAUACCGAAAGCGAAGGCGAUCUCCUGGAACAUUACUGACGCUAAGGCGUGAAAGCGUGGGGAGCAAACGGGAUUAGAUACCCCGGUAGUCCACGCCCUAAACGAUGUUCACUAGUCGUCGGGAUGCUAGUCAUCUCGGUGAUGCACUUAACAGAUUAAGUGAACCGCCUGGGGAGUACGGUCGCAAGAUUAAAACUCAAAGGAAUAGACGGGGACCCGCACAAGUGGUGGAGCAUGUGGUUUAAUUCGAAGAUACGCGAAGAACCUUACCUAGCCUUGACAUUGAUAGAAUACACCAGAGAUGGAGUAGUGCCUUUCGGGGAACUUGAAAACAGGUGCUGCACGGCUGUCGUCAGCUCGUGUCGUGAGAUGUUGGGUUAAGUCCCGCAACGAGCGCAACCCUCGUCCUUAGUUGCCAGCAGGUUAAGCUGGGCACUCUAAGGAGACUGCCUUCGUAAGGAGGAGGAAGGUGAGGACGACGUCAAGUCAUCAUGGCCCUUAUGGCUAGGGCUACACACGUGCUACAAUGGGGCGUACAGAGUGUUGCGAUACCGCGAGGUGGAGCUAAUCACUUAAAGCGUCUCUCAGUUCGGAUAGCAGUCUGCAACUCGACUGCUUGAAGCUGGAAUCACUAGUAAUCGUAGAUCAGCAAUGCUACGGUGAAUACGU
rnacentral:rRNA from 1 species